UGCCAGCCGCCGCGGUAAUACGGAGGGUGCGAGCGUUAAUCGGAAUCACUGGGCGUAAAGCGUGCGUAGGCGGCGCAUCAAGUCAGACGUGAAAGCCCUCGGCUCAACCGAGGAAUUGCGUUUGAAACUGAUGUGCUAGAGUCUCGGAGAGGUUAGGGGAAUUCCAGGUGUAGGAGUGAAAUCCGUAGAUAUCUGGAGGAACACCGGUGGCGAAGGCGGCUCACUGGCUCGAUACUGACGCUGAGGUGCGAAAGCGUGGGGAGCAAACAGGAUUAGAUA
rnacentral:rRNA from 1 species